rnacentral:rRNA from 1 species
AUUGAACGCUGGCGGCAGGCCUAACACAUGCAAGUCGAACGAGUGGCGGACGGGUGAGCAAGGACUGGGACACUGCCUGAUGGAGGGGGAUAACUACUGGAAACGGUAGCUAAUACCGCCUACCAUCGGAUGUGCCCAGGUUGGAUUAGCUAGUAGGUGGGGUAAAGGCUCACCAAGGCGACGAUCCCGAGCUGGUCUGAGAGGAUGACCAGCCACACUGGAACUGAGACACGGUCCAGACUCCUACGGGAGGCAGCAGUGGGGAAUAUUGGACAAUGGGCGCAAGCCUGAUGCAGCCAUGCCGCGUGUGUGAAGAAGGCCUUCGGGUUGUAAAGUACUUUCAGCGGGGAGGCGUUACCCACAGAAGAAGCACCGGCUAACUCCGUGCCAGCAGCCGCGGUAAUUC